GGGAACUUCGCUCCGUACAAAUGUUCAGGAUGAAGCAUUGUGCGGAGC
ncrna:Paenibacillus barengoltzii G22 uup RNA